rnacentral:rRNA from 1 species
UACAGAGGGUGCAAGCGUUAGUCGGAAUUACUGGGCGUAAAGCGUGCGUAGACGGUUAUGUAAGUCAGAUGUGAAAGCCCAGGGCUCAACCUUGGAAUUGCAUUUGAGACUGCAUAGCUAGGGUGCGGAAGAGGGAAGCGGAAUUUCCGGUGUAGCGGUGAAAUGCGUAGAUAUCGGAAGGAACACCAGUGGCGAAAGCGGCUUCCUGGUCCAGCACCGACGUUCAGGCACGAAAGCGUGGGGAGCAAACAGG